rnacentral:rRNA from 1 species
UGAGGAAUAUUGGUCAAUGGGCGCGAGCCUGAACCAGCCAAGUCGCGUGAGGGAUGACGGCCCUACGGGUUGUAAACCUCUUUUGCCGGGGAGCAACGGGCGCCACGAGUGGCGCCACUGAGAGUACCCGGAGAAAAAGCAUCGGCUAACUCCGUGCCAGCAGCCGCGGUAAUACGGAGGAUGCGAGCGUUAUCCGGAUUUAUUGGGUUUAAAGGGUGCGUAGGCGGAUCGUUAAGUCAGUGGUCAAAUUGAGGGGCUCAACCCCUUCCCGCCAUUGAAACUGGCGCUCUUGAGUGGAAGAGA